GUUUAACGGCCGCGGCUAUUUUGACCGUGCAAAGGUAGCGCAAUCACUUGUCUUUUAAAUAAAGACCUGUAUGAAUGGCAUAACGAGGGCUAAACUGUCUCCUUACUCCAGUUAAUGAAAUUGAUCUUCCCGUGCAGAAGCGGGAAUUAACUCAUAAGACGAGAAGACCCUGUGGAGCUUUAGAUGAAUAGACGAGUUUAUUAAUAAUUAAACCUUGUAAAAGAUGAUAAAUCUAUAACCUCAUCUUAAUAUCUUUAGUUGGGGCGACCGCGGAGUAAAACAAAACCUCCGUGAGGAUUGAGAUGAAAACCUUACACCCAAGAAAGUCAUUUSUAAGUACCAAAAUAUUUGACCAACAGAUCCGGCACUGACCGAUCAACGAACCUAGUUACCCCAGGGAUAACAGCGCAAUCCUCUUUAAGAGUCCCUAUCGACAAGAGGGUUUACGACCUCGAUGUUGGAUCAGGACAUCCUAAUGGUGUAG
rnacentral:rRNA from 1 species